AGAUGACACUCUGAGCGCUCCGGGAACGGACAGCCCGGCGGCUUCCCGAAGCCGGCGGCGCAGCUGCCCGGGGCGAGGGGGAGAAAGGGAGAGAGGGAGGGGGAGGGCGGGCGAAGCGGGAGAGCCAGAGACUCCUCGGCGCUGAGCGCGGCGGCGGCCCGGGCAGCCCCACGCCCCUGCCUCGCGCGCCGCCCGCGCCAUGAAGCACAUCCCGGUCCUCGAGGACGGGCCGUGGAAGACCGUGUGCGUGAAGGAGCUGAACGGCCUUAAGAAGCUCAAGCGGAAAGGCAAGGAGCCGGCGCGGCGCGCGAACGGCUAUAAAACUUUCCGACUGGACUUGGAAGCGCCCGAGCCCCGCGCCGUAGCCACCAACGGGCUGCGGGACAGGACCCAUCGGCUGCAGCCGGUCCCGGUACCGGUGCCGGUGCCAGUCCCAGUGGCGCCGGCCGUUCCCCCAAGAGGGGGCACGGACACAGCCGGGGAGCGCGGGGGCUCUCGGGCGCCCGAGGUCUCCGACGCGCGGAAACGCUGCUUCGCCCUAGGCGCAGUGGGGCCAGGACUCCCCACGCCGCCGCCGCCGCCGCCUCCUGCGCCCCAGAGCCAGGCACCUGGGGGCCCAGAGGCACAGCCUUUCCGGGAGCCGGGUCUGCGUCCUCGCAUCUUGCUGUGCGCACCGCCCGCGCGCCCCGCGCCGUCAGCACCCCCAGCACCGCCAGCGCCCCCGGAGUCCACUGUGCGCCCUGCGCCCCCGACGCGCCCCGGGGAAAGUUCCUACUCGUCAAUUUCACACGUAAUUUACAAUAACCACCAGGAUUCCUCCGCGUCGCCUAGGAAACGACCGGGCGAAGCGACUGCCGCCUCCUCCGAGAUCAAAGCCCUGCAGCAGACCCGGAGGCUCCUGGCGAACGCCAGGGAGCGGACGCGGGUGCACACCAUCAGCGCAGCCUUCGAGGCGCUCAGGAAGCAGGUGCCGUGCUACUCAUAUGGGCAGAAGCUGUCCAAACUGGCCAUCCUGAGGAUCGCCUGUAACUACAUCCUGUCCCUGGCGCGGCUGGCUGACCUUGACUACAGUGCCGACCACAGCAACCUCAGCUUCUCCGAGUGUGUGCAGCGCUGCACCCGCACCCUGCAGGCCGAGGGACGUGCCAAGAAGCGCAAGGUCCCUGGGGAGCUUGGAGGCCAGAAGCCCAGGCUUUGCGCCUGUGCCCAGAAUAACCUCUGCAAAGUCUGUCCCUUGGAGAAGAUGUGAAAGCAGAUCUGUCAAACGCAAGGAUGUCCAGGCUUGAGUGUUAAAGAAAACACCAGUGCAGCUUAUGAUGCAGCUUGUACAGCGUAAUUCCACUUUUCGUAAAAUACUGUAUGACUUUUCGGAGCCUUUGACAUGCUAAUACAUACAGUGACUUUCCAAGUGGGACCAAGGAGUGACUGGCUGCAGGCAAGACCAAGGCCACCACUGUGGGCCCUCCUUCCAGUCAGGCCUGAGGACAAGGUGAGCUCGCUGAGUCCAGCCUCGUGGUCUUCUCCAAGAUGCCGCCAGAUGCCCAGCCUACAGCCUCUCAGGGUCGGAUCGGAGCACGCCUGCCUCCCUCUCCCCUCCGCCCUCACCCAGCCAAUCCGAGGCUGCUUCGCACUUUGCCCUCUGCCUGGUGGGGAGGGGAGAGCUCAGCCCCCGACUCACUCAGACCCCAAGGCCCACUGUCCAGCUGCAGAAAUUCGUUGCCAAAGAUUGGACAGAGACACCGAAGGAAAUGGGGUGGUGAAACCCCACAGCGAAAAGCCACACCGUUGCUCUGUGACUUUUGCUCCUCCUGUUGCCUGAGCCCCAUCUCAAGCCAAAGAUGAGUCAGUGGUUCUGCUAGGAACUCAUGGAAUGGAUGGGCAUUUGAUGACCCCUGGGGGUCAUCUUGGCCCUCUGACCUGGUGCUCUCUCUCCACUGGGCCUUGUGCUGGCUGAGUGCAAGACAAGCCUUAGGGGCUGUGAGAGGGAGGCUGGGGUGCCUGGGCGGGGCUGGGAGUGGGACCUGAGAUCCCUGCCCACUCUCUCCCCUUCAUUGGCUGCCCAGGCCACUGGCCCCAGUUCUCAGUGUCCCUUGGGUCCAGGCUCCUUGGGCCCUAAGCAUCACCAGAAGGGAGUAAGCAGGGAGAGAAGCAAUAUUACUCCCUCCCCUACACCAGGGACUUGCCCCAGGGCAGCUACCUAUGGGUCUUUGCUUCCCCAGCCAGCCUCUCCUCACUGUGACCCACCCCCAUGGGCCCCCGUCCCAGGCAGCCAGCACCAUGGGCAGGCCCUGCCAUGGACAGAAAAAGAGUUUUUCUCUUGUUCAGCCUGCACGUGGCCUGAGGAAGGAGUAGAGGCUGGGUUGGCUGGAGCCGUCCUACUGGGCAAGAUGGCGCCCCACUUGGAGGGCGGUGGUCUGUUACAGGGUGUGCAGGGGCAGAGAAGGAAGGGACCAGGGGACUGGGCCAGUAUGUGGAGGAUGGGGCCUGCGUGUUCAAAGCCAAGGCCCGCCCCUUCCUUGUGCUCAAAUGGCCAAAGCUGUUCACGUCUGUGCUCAACCAUCUGCUUCAAAUUGAAGUAAAAGCCCCAAAAUGUCAAGAAAAUACUUGUGUUGAGUGGACUCUGUGGGUGACCAGGACUUUGGCCGGUCAUCAGCUGGGGAGUGUGAGGGAGGGGGUUGGUUUCUACCUACAGGUUGAGAGCCCUUCAGGAUCAGGCGCUGUCCGAGUGAGAGUGUGUGUGUCUGUGUGUGGAAGGGGGUGGAGGGCGGUUCCCACAGUAGUCUCAGCCUGGACUAGUGACCAGGAGGCCUGGUCAGGAACACAUGAGGAGCCCUCUCUGUCCGCACUGCACUCAAUCUGUACCAUGGAUUUAUGAGAUAGGGGCCCCUAUUAUUAACCCCGUUUCACAGAUGGGGUAACUGAGGCCUCAAGUAGACAGGGUCAGUCGGUGACAGAGCCAGUCAUCGAAUCAGGAUGGGCUCACUUCAAAUCCUGUGCUCUCAAACCUUUUCCAGCCCCAUCACCAGUCCCAGCCCAAAGUCUCUUGUGUGGCCUUGUCACAUUGCUUCACCUCAGCGGGCCUAAGGUAGGGACAAUAAAGGCCCAUUGGGACUGGGGGAAGGGGUGAUAAGAUAAAAAAUAGGAGAGCACUGUCAAGGCAGAAGGGACAGGGCUGGCCAAGGAAAGGGGGAUAGGAGGGGACCGGAGGCUGCAGCCAUACAGGACACAGUUUGUCCCUUGGUUUCACCAGUGUCACUUUCUCGUCUCUGCUGCUCAGACUCCUGGGCUGGGCUGGGGCUGGCUGCAGGGAGCCCCCCUUGCAGUAGCGUUUCUCAGGCUGGCCCUUUACCAAGGACCACAGUGUCCAUGCUGUCUUGGAUCCCUAGGCUGGCACAGAAACAGGGGACCCAGGUGGCCCUGAGCACUCCUCAGAGCAAAGGUGCUCUGGAAGCAGACUGGACAGAGUGGGCAUGGAAUGGGGCCAGGAGGGUCUGUUAGGAAGGUUCAGCCACCCUGUGAAGCUGGCACAGAUAACAGCACUGCUCUGUUGUCCCUCGGAGCCUCUGAGUAACCCUGAUGGCACUUCCUAAGGCAGCAGGACAUGUGGACUGACCAGCAUCAAACUGUUGACAUAGAAGACCAUUUCUAUUACCAAAGGGAGUGUACCCCAUUCUGCUGCCAAGGGAGCAAACCCAUGGCCUUACCACCCAGAAAGAGCCCAUCCUCCACCUCCCAUCCCCCUCCUGCAUACAUACUUCAUUACAUGUUUCCCUUUCAUUCUGAAGCAUCAUUGAUGACCAGCUGCCUGUCAGACACUAAGAUAGGCAGUGGGAAUGAAGAGAUGGAUCUUGUGUCAUGCAUGGCAUCACGGAGCUCUGGGUUCUGUACGGAGGGUGGGACAGACAGGUAGACAAGCAAAUAAUUAUGAUUAUAGCAGAUGACUAAGGUGUUGUCGGGAGCUUCAGGAAAGGAAGAACUAACUCUUGGGGAGGUUCUCAGGAAGGAUUUCCCUGGAAAGUAGCCAUGGGACUUGCGUCUUAAAUGGUGAGUAAAAGCUUUCUGAGCAGGGGAGUAGGAAAAGGGCUUUCUAUGCAGAGGAGCACUCAGCGCUGGCAGGAAAUUGGAAUCACCCAAGGAGAUUAUUAAAUAUUAAAUAUUGAUAUGAAGUAUUGAUGCCCAAUUUCAUCUCCAGAAAUUCUGAUGUAUUGGUCUAGGGUGUUGCCUGGUCAUUGGGAUUUUUACAAGCUCCUCAAGUGAUCUUAAUGUGCAGGCAAGGUUGAAGCCGCUGGUCUAAGUGGGGUCUGGUCUACGAUAAGAAAGUGACUUUGAGCCAUCGAUUUGGGAGACAGGCUCUGGGUGGAUGUGUGUGUGUGCACACAUAUGUAUGUAUGUGGAUGACUAAAAGUGCAUGCUCUCCUCUCCUUUCCCAGCUUCCUCUCCAGCACAGCAACUUGUGUUCGUAUGCACACACAUGCAUACUCUCUCUCAUGGGCACAUGCAUACCCACACACACACUCGUGUACAUUUCCAGAAAAUGGAAUUACAUUUCAGAUAGAUUCAGAUUCCAACGGCAGUCUUCUAAACACUUUUAUGCAAGCAGCCAUUCAAGGAGACCCUCAGCAAAAUAUAAAUGACGAGGAGCUGCCCUCAUGGGGCCCUGUGAAAGCACUUUGCAGUCCAGCCUUGGGUUUGUGGUCACAGAGUCACCUGUGGAUGUUUGUAGCACACUCUCCUUGUCUUGUCUGCUCUGGGUCACCAGGCACAGGCCAUAAAGGGAUGAGGGGGCCCUCUCCAGGGACCCGCAAGAUCUUCCUGGGUAUGUCUGCAUGAAGCCCCACGUGUGCACACCCAUCUUCAUGUGUGUGUGUGCCAGCCUCCUGCUCUCUGCAGAACAAAACCAGAAGGAAUGGCUCUGGGAGUUGGAGAUCUCAGCUCACAGGCCAAGCUUUGCAAGACUCUCCAAAGACUGCCCACAGACUGUGCUGCUUCCUGGGUCUGGCCUGAGACUAUCCCAGAAGAGAGGGUUAAAUUCUGGAGGUGAGGUUUUGAGCAAGUGUUCAUCCCCCCACACUAUGCUCCUUCCUGUCUCCAUGGCCACAUCCUUCAAGGCUCUGUGCUGUUCUCUUUUUUUCUGGAUUUCUCCACCUCCACCAAGUUCCCCUUUCUCACAGCUAGUGGAGGCAUGAGUAGGCAGGUCCCAGGGGCUGGGAACUGGGUAGCAUUGCCAUGUGCAGGGACUGUGUUGGGAGCUGCAGGUACAGAGCUCCUCUGUGCUCAAGAGCUUGCCGGUGAGCCUGGACGGAGGCAUAGGUGCAGCUAAUUAGGAUAAGACAGGGGCCGCGCUGUGGUCAGCCGUGGGAAGCCGGCGAGGGGACUGGAGUUGGGGCUACACUUGCCUCCCUCCUAUGCUGCUUCCUGAGCCACGAAGUGGUCAUUGCCAGCAUCCCAGGCAACAAACAGCAAGACUCAGACAUCUCCAAGGAAACCCUUUGAGUGGAUCUGUACCGUUGUUCUCGUCUUGCUCUCUUGCUGCCCUGCCACCUUCACAGCUGCUUUCUGUUUCCUGGUUCCAGGAAGACAGCGGGGCACAGGGUCCCUGCUUUGUGAGGAGCAGCUGGCUUCUCCCUUUGCCCCCAGGUUUUGCCCUCCCACAUGUCUCCCUUCUGGUGACCCGGACCCCAGACAAACUAUGCCUGCCUCCCUGAAGCCAGGCAUCCUGAGGAACUUGAUAGACAAACAAUGACAGUGUUUUCCAGAACUGUGGGUACGUGUCUAAUCUCAGAUGGUACUAUGAAUUCCUGGAGAUCAAAGUUUGGAUCUAAUUCAACCCCUGAUCCUCGAAACGGCUUUCUUGCAAAGUGUAUAUAUUGGUUUCUUUGCUGAAUGAAUGAAUAAAACAUGGAAAAUGUGGUAAUUCA